UACGAAGGGUGCUAGCGUUGUUCGGAAUUACUGGGCGUAAAGCGCACGUAGGCGGAUUUGUUAGUCAGGGGUGAAAUCCCGGGGCUCAACCUCGGAACUGCCUUUGAUACUGCAAGUCUUGAGUCCGGAAGAGGUGAGUGGAAUUCCUAGUGUAGAGGUGAAAUUCGUAGAUAUUAGGAAGAACACCAGUGGCGAAGGCGGCUCACUGGUCCGGUACUGACGCUGAGGUGCGAAAGCGUGGGGAGCAAACAGG
rnacentral:rRNA from 1 species